AGCUCCUCUAAUAACAGACUGAAGUACUCAGUGUACUUAGAAGAGAUACUACAGCUCCUCUAAUAACAGACUGAAGUACUCAGUGUACUUAGAAGAGAUACUACAGCUCCUCUAAUAACAGACUGAAGUACUCAGUGUACUUAGAAGAGAUACUACAGCUCCUCUAAUAACAGACUGAAGUACUCAGUGUACUUAGAAGAGAUACUACAGCUCCUCUAAUAACAGACUGAAGUACUCAGUGUACUUAGUAGAGAUACUACAGCUCCUCUAAUAACAGACUGAAGUACUCAGUGUACUUAGAAGAGAUACUACAGCUCCUCUAAUAACAGACUGAAGUACUCAGUGUACUUAGUAGAGAUACUACAGCUCCUCUAAUAACAGACUGAAGUACUCAGUGUACUUAGAAGAGAUACUACAGCUCCUCUAAUAACAGACUGAAGUACUCAGUGUACUUAGAAGAGAUACUACAGCUCCUCUAAUAACACUCACACAGUGACAUCACAGGGCCUUUACAGACUCCUCCCUUUGGUCUGAUUGGUUGGUUGGAUUGGUUAUCUGUUAGAACUAUCAAUUGAUCAGUAAAUCAAUCCGCUGCUGUGAUGUGAUGACACAUGUUUGUUUUGUUUUCUUUUUACUCCUUUUUUUCAUCCCUCCAUCACCUCUUCAUCAUCCCUCCAUCACCUCUUCAUCAUCCUUCCAUCACCUCUUCAUCAUCCUUCCAUCACCUCUUCAUCAUCCCUCCAUCACCUCUUCAUCAUCCCUCCAUCACCUCAUCACCUCUUCAUCAUCCUUCCAUCACCUCUUCAUCAUCCCGCCAUCACCUCUCCAUCAUCCCUCCAUCACCUCAUCAUCCCUCCAUCACCUCUCCAUCACCUCUUCAUCAUCCUUCCAUCACCUCUUCAUCAUCCCUCCAUCACCUCUCCAUCACCUCUUCAUCUUCCCUCCAUUACCUCUUUAUCAUCCCUCCAUCACCUCUUCAUCAUCCCUCCAUCACCUCUUCAUCAUCCCUCCAUCACCUCUUCAUCAUCCCUCCAUCACCUCUUCAUCAUCCCUCCAUCACCUCUCCAUCACCUCUUCAUCUUCCCUCCAUUACCUCUUUAUCAUCCCUCCAUCACCUCUUCAUCAUCCCUCCAUCACCACAUCAUCACCAUGUUUCAGAGGUGGUGUCUCUUCGUGGUUCUUCUGGAGUUUUGAAGGUUCGAGGUUCGUCUUCUUCAGUUCGUCUUCUUCAGUCCUACAGCAGCUCCCUACGGAAACCUGGAGGCCUCGGACGAAGUCUGAGCUCCUACCUGAACCACACAGCUCGACUGGAGAUCGUCCAUGAGGAUGUAAAGAUAAGUUCAGAUAGAGAAAGUGAUCCGGCUUCUUCUUCAGACAACGUUCUGAGUCCAGUGAGAGUGAGACUGAGAAACAAGAAGAUCGCAACUGAGGACAUUAACAAACGUCUCUCAUUACCGGCCGACAUUCGUCUUCCAGACGGUUACCUGGAGAAGUUUAAUCUGAUUGGUCCAGCUCUGUUUGAGGAGCCAAUCAGCAGACGACUACGUAGAGUGUCCCUGUCAGAGAUUGGUUUUGGGAAACUGGAGACGUACAUCAAACUGGACAAACUGGGAGAGGGGACUUACGCUACAGUGUAUAAAGGUCGCAGUAAACUGACCGAGAACCUUGUGGCCUUGAAGGAGAUUCGAUUGGAACAUGAAGAAGGAGCUCCAUGUACUGCUAUCAGAGAAGUGUCUCUGUUGAAGGAUCUGAAACACGCAAACAUCGUCACGCUUCACGACAUCAUCCACACACAGAAGUCCCUCACACUGGUGUUUGAGUAUCUGGACAAAGAUCUGAAACAGUACCUGGACGACUGUGGAAACAUCAUCAAUGUUCACAACGUCAAACUCUUCCUGUUCCAGCUGUUGAGAGGUUUGUCGUACUGUCAUCGGAGGAAGGUUCUCCACAGAGACCUGAAACCACAAAACCUGCUGAUCAACGAGCGAGGAGAGCUCAAACUGGCAGACUUUGGUGAGUUAAAUGGUCUAGCACGAGCAAAAUCAAUCCCAACAAAGACGUACUCUAAUGAGGUGGUGACGCUGUGGUACCGACCGCCGGACAUCCUGUUGGGCAGCACUAACUACUCCACUCAUAUCGACAUGUGGGGUGUUGGUUGUAUCUUCUAUGAGAUGAUGACAGGUCGACCUCUGUUUCCUGGUUCCACAGUGGAGGAGGAGCUUCACUUCAUCUUCAAACUCCUGGGUACUCCCACAGAGCAGAGCUGGUCUGGGAUCAGUUCUAAUGACCAAUUUGUGGCGCAAAACUAUCCUCUCUACCGAGCUGAGAGACUGAGUAACCACACUCCCAGGCUCAGCAGUGAAGGAGUGGAGCUGUUGUCAAAGUUCCUGCAGUUUGAAGGGAAGAAGAGGAUCUCAGCAGCCGAGUCAAUGAAUCAUCGUUAUUUCAGUAACCUUGGAAACAGAGUCAUGACGCUUCUCGACACAAUGUCCAUUUUCAGUCUGCCAGAGAUUCAACUCGAAAAAGAAACAAUCAGACCAACACUCACCUCUGAUGCAGAUAUCUACAGAUCGAUGACAAUGAGCAGCACCAUCCAUAGAGGAAGAUCAUGUGAUAUGACUGUAAGCUCCAGAACAACAGUCGCUUUAUGUGACAAGUCCGGCAAAGAGGCGUGGUCUGCUACUCUGACAUCAUGGUGGAGGCGUGGUCUGAUCUUCUGACAUCAUGGUAAAGGCGUGGUCUGCUACUCUGACAUCAUGGUGGAGGCGUGGUCUGAUCUUCUGACAUCAUGGUAAAGGCGUGGUCUGAUCUUCUGACAUCAUGGUAAAGGCGUGGUCUGAUCUUCUGACAUCAUGGUAAAGGCGUGGUCUGCUACUCUGACAUCAUGGUGGAGGCGUGGCCUGAUCUUCUGACAUCAUGGUGGAGGCGUGGCCUGCUACUCUGACAUCAUGGUGGAGGCGUGGCCUGAUCUUCUGACAUCAUGGUGGAGGCGUGGCCUGAUCUUCUGACAUCAUGGUGGGGGCGUGACCUGCUACUCUGACAUCAUGGUGGAGGCGUGGCCUGAUCUUCUGACAUCAUGGUGGAGGCGUGGCCUGAUCUUCUGACAUCAUGGUGGAGGCGUGGCCUGAUCUUCUGACAUCAUGGUGGAGGCGUGGCCUGAUCUUCUGACAUCAUGGUGGAGGCGUGGCCUGCUACUCUGACAUCAUGGUGGAGGCGUGGCCUGAUCUUCUGACAUCAUGGUGGAGGGGGGUUCAGGAACAAAGGGAAACUGAAAGAAACAGAGAUGCUGGUCAAUUUAUCUUUUCUGGAGGAGUUAAACAAGAACAGGAAGUAAAACAAAAUAAGAAGAAAAGAAAGUAAGCACUGAAAUUAUUUUUAACUCAGAGAAGAAGAGAAGCAAAUGGCAGCUUGCUGUUUCCUCAGACGGACAGAUUAAUGCAAUAAUGGAUCCCAACAGCCAUCCGACCAAUCAGUUAACAGCAAGUUGUAACUACCAGCAUCAGACACUUCAGUACAGGAACCGAUGGACGGAUGAAUGAGCUAAAGGUUGUUGAACAGAACAGAUGCUUGAAUGUGAAUUCUGUCUUCCAUUUUCAGAUUCAACACAAAUGACUGUUAGGUAUCACCUGAAUACAGGUAUCACCUGAAUACAGGUGAGACCUGUAUUCAGGUGAAACCUGUGUGAACACCUGCAGUGUGUGCAGCACUGUGCACCGUUAGAGCACAUUAAUAACUUGCCAUUCAUUUGGAGUGCACUAAAAUGGUAUUUGUUUUAUUUAAAAUGGAGAAUUAAACCUACAAACAAAGUUCAUCAUCAUUUCAGACAGGAAGUGCUGCAGACUGCUGGUACUCUAAAUAUGAACUGUGACUAAAGUAAAAGAAAAAAGAAUCCAGAGAAUGCUUCCUUUUUUUAAAGUUGAUUGUCUUAAUAAUUACUUUGGAGCUGCUGUUUUUGUUUAUGCCACAGUACAGUACUCCAUUCACAGUACAGUACUCCAUUCACAGUACAGUACUCCAUUCACAGUACAGUACUACAUUCACAGUACAGUACUCCAUUCACAGUACAGUACUCCAUUUACAGUACAGUACUCCAUUCACAGUACAGUACUCCAUUCACAGUACAGUACUACAUUCACAGUACAGUACUCCAUUCACAGUACAGUCUAACAUUUACAGUACAGUACUCCAUUCACAGUACAGUCUAACAUUUACAGUACAGUACUCCAUUCACAGUACAGUACUACAUUCACAGUACAGUACUCCAUUCACAGUACAGUCUAACAUUUACAGUACAGUACUCCAUUCACAGUACAGUCUAACAUUUACAGUACAGUACUCCAUUCACAGUACAGUCUAACAUUUACAGUACAGUACUCCAUUCACAGUACAGUACUACAUUCACAGUACAGUCUAACAUUUACAGUACAGUACUACAUUCGGAGUAUGGUACUACAUUAACAGUACAGUACUACAUUUACACUAAUGUUAUUUAUUAAAAACUGACUAUUAGAAACUAUUUUGAUUCAAACUGAAAUCUGCAGAAAAGAAAGUUUGACUGUUUUACUAUAAAAGUGUGAAACUGGUUUCUGCUGUUCUGCAUGUGUGUUGUACACAGACUGUAUACUCUAAUACUGGUAAUAUAUGUAGUAAUACUGUAAAAUAUACAGUGAUAAUGUAAUUUUGUAUACAGUUAUACUUAGAGUCUGAGGUGAACAGCUGGGACAGAUCAUUUCAUUCUAACAGGUUUAAUUGUUUUUAUUCAGGAAUCAGAAGAAUACGAUGUGAUGUCAGCAGAGCCUCAGUGACAUCCACUUCUCUGAGACGGGGCGGGGUUUAUCUGAGACUGGGGCGGGGCUUAGCGUAGUUUAUAUGGUGGGUGUAGGCUUUCCUAGAGGUCGCCGUUCUUGGCGAUCACAUGACUGUCACAAAUAUUCACCGAUAAAAACAAUAUUUAUUUUAGGAUUAUAAAAGAAGGUCAAUCAGUUUUUAGAUACUUUAGGAACAGGAGAUGUUAAAAAUAUACAUUUGAGUAAAUACUUUUAAGUCAAAUUAAAUCGUUUACAGGAUGUUCAACCUUUGUUUAUGUUAUUUAUUUUUUCUCGUGGUCGUGUGCCAUCUGUGGAGGUUCGCACUACAGCACCAAACAGGAGUAUAACAAAGCUUCAGCUGAGAGUAGACAAAGGGCGGGGCCUAUUUGAUAUUGGGGGCUUAUAUUACACUGGGCGGGGCUUAUGUUACACUGGGCUUGGCUUUGCCUGCAGUUUGUCAGUUUGAAAUAGUUUGUCCUUCAGUCAAAGGGAUUUCUUUAAAAAACGUUUUUGUUUGUUGUAUUGACAGGUUUGGGAGCACUAAGAGUUUUCAAACAAACUUGCUGUUUCUAUUUUUUAGCUGUAGAGAAAUAUUGAUCAGAAGACAAUAGUGAUUGAUCAGUUAAUAAUGAGACUUUAAUCUGCUG